rnacentral:tRNA from 34 species
GGGUCGUUAGCUCAGCUGGUAGAGCAGCGGACUUUUAAUCCGUUGGUCGCAGGUUCGAAUCCCGCACGACCCACCA